AGGAUUUGGCCUUGUGGGCCUCCGGCUCUUGACCCAGCAAUGCCCAUGACAAAUGUGCUUCAUCACAUGAAUAUAAAGGAAUAAGUUCACUUUGGGUCCUCACGUAGUCACGAAGUAUCAAAAUCGUCCUUCAACCGCAAUCCCAGAAAUGUUGGCCCUCAAAGUUACGAAAACCGUUCAAUUCAAAUCUCUAGGUAGUAUU
rnacentral:lncRNA from 1 species